UUUUGGUUCUCUUUCAAGGAACCCUUUUACGAAAAAAAAAAGAUGCAUGACCAUCCAAAUUUUUUUUUGGAGGUGGGUUUUUUUGUUUUCCAGCCCCUAUGGGGGGCUUUUGUGUGCAAAAAUGCCCAUUUGAUGCCAUGCAAAUUGGGCAUUUUGUGUUAGAGAGAGAGGUGAAAGAGAGAACCAUGGUUAGGCCAAAGGUUUUGUUUCUUCAGAGAUUGCAUGCAGCUGAAUACAUAUUUGAAACUGAAGGAGAAUGAUUUGAGAGAUUCAUUGACUCUAGCGAUGUGGAAUUGGUGGAGCAUGCAGAGCCAUAUUG
rnacentral:lncRNA from 1 species